ACCGUUGGAUCUAAGAGAAGAGGCGCGCUAAAUCAACGGCUGGGAUCUAUUCUGAUAAAUUAAAUGAAAGUCCCUAAAACAAAUUUGCGAUUUUCUCUCUCCUCCGCGAUUUUCUCUCUCCUCACCAACGCCAUUUUCAUUCUCCUAUACCAUUUUCGUUCUCCUCGACUCCAUUGACGCGGAUUAUGAGCUUUCUCUACUCCGUUGAAGCAUCUUCUGAGGUAUAAUUUUUCAAUAAUAGCUGCAGUUUACAAUUUUUUUGCUUUAAUUUUGGAUUCCGGCGCGAUUUAAUUGGAGAUUCAAAAGCUACUCUUGAAAUUUCUCAGGCUCUAUGACAGAAUGCGAUGGUGGGUGUCAUGGGUUUUUUAAGCUUGUGGAAGACUUCAAACUCUAUGCAUCUGCUAUCUCAGGGGGAGCUGGGUCUGUUAAGGUGAGUACAGGGGAGAGAUUGGUUUUAUCUCAUGAGAAAUGGGUGCACCCAGCUGAUGUGCGAGUAAGAGUGAACACAGAUGGUGCAGUUAUGGAGGGCAUUCGCGUGGGGCUGGGGGUCUGCAUUCGGGAUUUGGAGGGGAAGCUGCUUGCUGUGGCAGAUCUACUGUUGAAUCUGUGAAGCUCGCUGAGGCUCUGGCAACAAGGAUGGGAGUGAGGCUUGCUAAGAGGCUUGGAUUUAAACACAUUGAGUUAAAAUGUGAUGCUCUUGAAAUUGUCAUGCUAUAUGGUUAGAGACCCCUUUCAGAACCCCAACAGUGACAGUGAUAGUGAUUGAAGGUAUUAAAUAUAUGUGAUUUGAAGAACCCUGGCAGAUGCUGCAAAUUCCCUCAUGAGUCUCUUCCUUCUUGCUUCAUCAUUUUCAUUAUUCUUAUUAAUAUCGAUCAUUAUGCUUAUGCUAUACUUUAUGAUAUAUAUAUGCAUGAUUCAAGAAGUAUAUGAAUGAAAUUGGACUGAGUUAUAUGAUUUGAUUUGAUUUAAUGACAAGAGAAAUACGAGACCAAGUGUUCAAUCAAAAGAAUAACACGGUGACAAUCACCGUGGUUUGCUGUAGUCCUGAGAAGAUCAGAAACAAGCUUUGCUGCAAAGCUGGCAAAUCCAUUAAGAGCAUCAAGAUCAAGCCUCCAUCCAAGCCUGCUCCUCCCUCAACUGCCCAACCUGACAAACCUAAACCUGCUCUUGCUCCAGCACGCGAGCCUCAAAAACCCAAGUCCGCUCCUGCUCCAGCACCUAAGCCUGAAAAGCCUAAGCCAUCUAUUUCAGUCAUGGUAAUAACAUAACAACUCUAUAUCCUACUCUAAAAGAUGAUCCAACAUAAAAAUACAGAAGAUGAAUAAGGCUGAAUAAGGUAAUUCCUACAUCAAUUAUCUCUAAAGUAAAAUUAAAUUAAAUCUAUUAUAAAGUAAAUAAAAAAGAGUUUAAAGUAAACCUAUUAGCUCAAGUGGUAGAGCACUAUGCGGAUGCAUAGAGGUGUAGGUUCAAUUCCUACAUAGGUUAUCUUAAAUAGUAAUUAUAAAACACUCUAAAGUUAUUCAAAAUACAUCAAAAGUAAAUCAAAAUAUCCCAAAAGUAAGUAGAAAAACUAAAAACGUAUAUUAAUAUAUCUCUAAAGUAAAUCAAAAUAACUAUUAAAAGAAAUCAAAAGUAGAGCAAAAUAUGUCAGAAGUAAAUCAUAAUUACUCUAAAGUAAA